AAAUUGAAGAGUUUGAUCAUGGCUCAGAUUGAACGCUGGCGGCAGGCCUAACACAUGCAAGUCGAACGGUAACAGGAAGAAGCUUGCUUCUUUGCUGACGAGUGGCGGACGGGUGAGUAAUGUCUGGGAAACUGCCUGAUGGAGGGGGAUAACUACUGGAAACGGUAGCUAAUACCGCAUAACGUCGCAAGACCAAAGAGGGGGACCUUCGGGCCUCUUGCCAUCGGAUGUGCCCAGAUGGGAUUAGCUAGUAGGUGGGGUAACGGCUCACCUAGGCGACGAUCCCUAGCUGGUCUGAGAGGAUGACCAGCCACACUGGAACUGAGACACGGUCCAGACUCCUACGGGAGGCAGCAGUGGGGAAUAUUGCACAAUGGGCGCAAGCCUGAUGCAGCCAUGCCGCGUGUAUGAAGAAGGCCUUCGGGUUGUAAAGUACUUUCAGCGGGGAGGAAGGGAGUAAAGUUAAUACCUUUGCUCAUUGACGUUACCCGCAGAAGAAGCACCGGCUAACUCCGUGCCAGCAGCCGCGGUAAUACGGAGGGUGCAAGCGUUAAUCGGAA
rnacentral:rRNA from 1 species